rnacentral:rRNA from 1 species
AGAGGUUGUUUUUGGCUCAGGAUGAACGCUAGCGGCAGGCUUAACACAUGCAAGUCGAGGGGCAGCAUGUCCAGCAAUGGAUGAUGGCGACCGGCGGAAGGGUGCGUAACGCGUGAGCAACAUGCCCUAUACAGGGAGAUACACCAGGGAAACUUGGUCUAAUAUCCCAUAGCAUUCAUUGAAGGCAUCUUUAAUGAAUUAAAGCUUCGGUGGUAUAGGAUUGGCUCGCGUGACAUUAGCCAGAUGGUGAGGUAACGGCUCACCAUAGCAAUGAUGUCUAGGGGUUUUGAGAGGAAGGCCCCCCACACUGGGACUGAGACACGGCCCAUACUCCUACGGGAGGCAGCAGUAGGGAGUUUUCGGCAAUGGGGGGAACCCUGACCGAGCAAUGCCGCGUGAAUGAUGAAGGUCUUUGGAUCGUAAAGUUCUGUUGUCGCUAUGGAAAACCUAGAGGAGGAAAUGCCUUUAGCUUGACCUAGCUUCCAGAAAGCCACGGCUAACUACGUGCCAGCAGCCGCGGUAAUACGUAGGUGGCAAGCGUUAUCCGGAAUUAUUGGGCGUAAAGAGUGAGCAGGCGGCAGUUUAAGUCUGAAGUCAAAUGCAGUGGCUCAACCACUGUCCGCUUUGGAAACUGAACAGCUAGAGUACGAGAGAGGUAUGUGGAAUUCCAUGUGUAGCGGUGAAAUGCGUAGAUAUAUGGAGGAACACCAGAGGCGAAGGCGGCAUACUGGAUCGAUACUGACGCUCAGUCACGAAAGCGUGGGUAGAAAAUAGGAUUAGAUACCCUAGUAGUCCACGCCG